AGAGAGAGACAUGCGCGCAUAUCAAUAAGCGGAGGAAAAGAAACUAACUAGGAUUCCCUCAGUAACGGCGAGUGAAGCGGGAAGAGCUCAAAUUUGAAAUCUUCAAGGUUCUACCUUGACGAAUUGUAGUUUAAAGAAGUGUUUUCUGUUGGAGUUUUGGUAAAAGUUCUUUGGAAUAGGACAUCAUAGAGGGUGAGAAUCCCGUAUUUGACCAUUAUUUCCAGCUUUGUGAUACACUUUCAAAGAGUCGGAUUGUUUGGGAAUGCAGUCCAAAAUGGGUGGUAAAUUUCAUCUAAAGCUAAAUACUGGCGAGAGACCGAUAGCGAACAAGUACCGUGAGGGAAAGAUGAAAAGAACUUUGAAAAGAGAGUUAAACAGUACGUGAAAUUGUCAAAAGGGAAGCGUUUGACACCAGGGUUGUUUUCUCGAAAAUCAAUUAAAAAAGGCAGGAUUUUAUGUUGUAUUGACUUUAUCAGCUUUCUGCACUCUUUUCUUGUCUUUUUUAAUGCACUUUUCGUUUAACAAGUCAACAUCAAUUUCUUUUGUUGUAAAAGGGUCAUUGGAAGGUGGCUUUCUUUUCGGAGAAAGUGUUUAUAGCCUUUGGCCUCUGCAAUCGGAGAGAUUGAGGUCUGCAGCGUAGAUCCUUCGGGGUUAGAUACAUUUGUGCUAAGUUAUAGCCUUUCAUAGACAACUUGUUGACUAUGAUCAGUCAUGUAGCUUACUCGCUUAUGCUAUUUUACCUACGCUUAGGAUGUUGAUGUGAUACUGCGAGCA
rnacentral:rRNA from 1 species